GACGAACGCUGGCGGCGUGCUUAACACAUGCAAGUCGAACGGAAAGGCCCUGCUUUUGUGGGGUGCUCGAGUGGCGAACGGGUGAGUAACACGUGAGUAACCUGCCCUUGACUUUGGGAUAACUUCAGGAAACUGGGGCUAAUACCGGAUAGGAGCUCCUGCUGCAUGGUGGGGGUUGGAAAGUUUCGGCGGUUGGGGAUGGACUCGCGGCUGAUCAGCUUGUUGGUGGGGUAGUGGCGUACCAGGGCUUUGACGGGUAGCCGGCCUGAGAGGGUGACGGGACACAUUGGGACUGAGUUACGGCCCAGGCUCCUACGGGAGGCAGCAGUGGGGAAUAUUGCACAAUGGGCGGAAGCCUGAUGCAGCAGCGCCGCGUGCGGGAUGAAGGCCUUCGGGUUGUAAACCGCUUUCGCCUGUGACGAAGCGUGAGUGACGGUAAUGGGUAAAGAAGCACCGGCUAACUACGUG
rnacentral:rRNA from 1 species